rnacentral:rRNA from 1 species
AUUGAACGCUGGCGGCAUGCCUUACACAUGCAAGUCGAACGGCAGCACGGGGGCAACCCUGGUGGCGAGUGGCGAACGGGUGAGUAAUACAUCGGAACGUACCUUAUCGUGGGGGAUAACGCAGCGAAAGCUGUGCUAAUACCGCAUACGCCCUGAGGGGGAAAGCGGGGGAUCGAAAGACCUCGCGCGAUUAGAGCGGCCGAUGCCUGAUUAGCUUGUUGGUGGGGUAAAAGCCCACCAAGGCGACGAUCAGUAGCUGGUCUGAGAGGACGAUCAGCCACACUGGGACUGAGACACGGCCCAGACUCCUACGGGAGGCAGCAGUGGGGAAUUUUGGACAAUGGGGGGAAACCCUGAUCCAGCAAUGCCGCGUGGGUGAAGAAGGCCUGCGGGUUGUAAAGCCCUUUAAGCGGGGAGGAAAGCCGGGGUGUGAAUAGCGCCUCGGGGUGACGUUACCCGCAGAAUAAGCACCGGCUAACUCCGUGCCAGCAGCC